UCAUGAUCCUGGCUGGAUCCUGGAUCAAACUUUUCCUGGGGUGAGGCUCAUCCAUUGCACUCUGGAUGUGCUGACCCCUGCAAUUUCCCCAAUUGCAGGAAACCCCACUGCAUAAUUUGUGGUAAUGGAGGACUGUUCAGGCUGUCCCUUAA
rnacentral:snRNA from 1 species